AUUGAACGCUGGCGGCAGGCCUAACACAUGCAAGUCGAACGAGUGGCGGACGGGUGAGUAAUGUCUGGGAACCUGCCCGAUGGAGGGGGAUAACUACUGGAAACGGUAGCUAAUACCGCAUACCAUCGGAUGUGCCCAGAUGGGAUGAGAUAGUAGGUGGGGUAACGGCUCACCUAGGCGACGAUCCCUAGCUGGGCUGAGAGGAUGACCAGCCACACUGGAAAUGAGACACGGUCCAGACUCCUACGGGAGGCAGCAGUAGGGAAUAUUGCACAAUGGGCGAAAGCCUGAUGCAGCCAGGCCGCGUGAGUGAAGAAGGCCUUCGGAUUGUAAAGUACUUUCAGCGGGGAAGCGUUGCGCACAGAAAAAGCACCGGCUAACUCCAUGCCAGCAGCCGCGGUAAUAC
rnacentral:rRNA from 1 species